GGUUAAGCGACUAAGCGUACACGGUGGAUGCCCUGGCAGUCAGAGGCGAUGAAGGACGUGCUAAUCUGCGAUAAGCGUCGGUAAGGUGAUAUGAACCGUUAUAACCGGCGAUUUCCGAAUGGGGAAACCCAGUGUGAUUCGUCACACUAUCAUUAACUGAAUCCAUAGGUUAAUGAGGCGAACCGGGGGAACUGAAACAUCUAAGUACCCCGAGGAAAAGAAAUCAACCGAGAUUCCCCCAGUAGCGGCGAGCGAACGGGGAGCAGCCCAGAGCCUGAAUCAGUGUGUGUGUUAGUGGAAGCGUCUGGAAAGGCGUGCGAUACAGGGUGACAGCCCCGUACACAAAAAUGCACAUACUGUGAGCUCGAUGAGUAGGGCGGGACACGUGGUAUCCUGUCUGAAUAUGGGGGGACCAUCCUCCAAGGCUAAAUACUCCUGACUGACCGAUAGUGAACCAGUACCGUGAGGGAAAGGCGAAAAGAACCCCGGCGAGGGGAGUGAAAAAGAACCUGAAACCGUGUACGUACAAGCAGUGGGAGCACGCUUAGGCGUGUGACUGCGUACCUUUUGUAUAAUGGGUCAGCGACUUAUAUUCUGUAGCAAGGUUAACCGAAUAGGGGAGCCGAAGGGAAACCGAGUCUUAACUGGGCGUUAAGUUGCAGGGUAUAGACCCGAAACCCGGUGAUCUAGCCAUGGGCAGGUUGAAGGUUGGGUAACACUAACUGGAGGACCGAACCGACUAAUGUUGAAAAAUUAGCGGAUGACUUGUGGCUGGGGGUGAAAGGCCAAUCAAACCGGGAGAUAGCUGGUUCUCCCCGAAAGCUAUUUAGGUAGCGCCUCGUGAAUUCAUCUCCGGGGGUAGAGCACUGUUUCGGCAAGGGGGUCAUCCCGACUUACCAACCCGAUGCAAACUGCGAAUACCGGAGAAUGUUAUCACGGGAGACACACGGCGGGUGCUAACGUCCGUCGUGAAGAGGGAAACAACCCAGACCGCCAGCUAAGGUCCCAAAGUCAUGGUUAAGUGGGAAACGAUGUGGGAAGGCCCAGACAGCCAGGAUGUUGGCUUAGAAGCAGCCAUCAUUUAAAGAAAGCGUAAUAGCUCACUGGUCGAGUCGGCCUGCGCGGAAGAUGUAACGGGGCUAAACCAUGCACCGAAGCUGCGGCAGCGACGCUUAUGCGUUGUUGGGUAGGGGAGCGUUCUGUAAGCCUGUGAAGGUGUGCUGUGAGGUAUGCUGGAGGUAUCAGAAGUGCGAAUGCUGACAUAAGUAACGAUAAAGCGGGUGAAAAGCCCGCUCGCCGGAAGACCAAGGGUUCCUGUCCAACGUUAAUCGGGGCAGGGUGAGUCGACCCCUAAGGCGAGGCCGAAAGGCGUAGUCGAUGGGAAACAGGUUAAUAUUCCUGUACUUGGUGUUACUGCGAAGGGGGGACGGAGAAGGCUAUGUUGGCCGGGCGACGGUUGUCCCGGUUUAAGCGUGUAGGCUGGUUUUCCAGGCAAAUCCGGAAAAUCAAGGCCGAG
rnacentral:rRNA from 3 species